CCUCAAACAAACCUUCCAAAUACAAGAACCAACGUGGUUCUAACCUCUUUAAAACAAAGUCUCACUAUGUCCCUCAGGCUGACCGGGAGUCACAGAGAUCCUCCUGCAGUUCUGGUUAUUAUCUUUAAAACAAUAAAAAUAACCACGAGGCGAUCUACAUGGCGUUUUAAAAAUGUUCCUCUCAUCUCCUUCUUUUUUGUCCAAAACAAAAAGUGAAAAUAACCAGAGAGACUUUUACAGCGUUAAAGGGUUUUUUUCCCCUAACGUCAAAUAUGCUUUUUUUUUUUUUCUUUCUUUCUUUCUUUCUAUUCGGCAGUUGUAGACUGGAAAGUUGUGACCUUUUUUUUUUUUUUUUUCUCUGUGAAGAACUUGGGGGCUGAAGCGGGGGCAGGGCCUCUUCCAGGCAGGCCAGCCCAGAGGCUGCACAUCUGUUUUCAAGUGAGCUGGCUACCAUGAAGUACAAACUGUCAGGAAACGCCUCGGGGACGAGCCGAGCCCAGGAAGUCACGGAAAUCCCCGGCCGGCCGCCUGCCACCGAAUGAGAAGGAAGUGGUGUGGUUUGCCCCUCGGAGUUCCCCAGCCGGGGAGGAAAGCACCGCGGGCCUGCGCGGGAGGGCGAGCCUGGGCGGGGCAGGGUGAGGCGGGUGGUGGGCGCGGUCCGCCUGGACGAUUUAAAGGCGUCGUGACACUCAGCCAACCCCAUAGACCGGGCGACAGGUGCCACCCCAGAGAUCGGAGGUCCCUGCGGGCGUGCAGAGCCUGAGGAGCGGGCUGCGGUUUACAAAGGACACAAACCCUUCUACUACUUGUAGCUUUUUUUCUGUUUUUUUUUUUUCUGUAAACCAAAACAUCUCAAAAUGGAGGCCUAAACCCCUUAAAGGGACUUAGUCUAAUCUUGGGAGGUAGUUUUGUGCAUGGACAGACAAAUUCAGCCCUCAGUUGACUUUCGGGACUGUUGUCUAAAGAUGCUCAUUUGAAGUCUGUAGUCUGAUUGUCUGAGGCGUUGAGUAUUAUGAUUUGGUUGUGAACUUGACUCUAGGAAGGGAAGGAGUUCUGUGGCUGGGCACAGUGAUGAAGCACUCUUCAGAAAGUUGCCUGGCAAUUUCCCACUGGCUGGCACUUUUUAAAAAGUGCCCACAUUCAAGAAAGAUCCAAACAUGAGUGCCGGCUAUCCAGAGGAAAUGAGUAAUCUGCUUUGCACAGUAGUACAGAAGUGUACUCAUGAGGUCACUGACACAUUCAAAGAUUGCAACAAUGACAGAGAACAAACAGGAACAAAAUGUUCUCGUAGGCACAGCAGAUUUAGAGGAAGUAAGACAGACACUACAAGAGAGUUGAGAAACUGUCCACCAUUGGUAUUUUAAAGGUCUACACAGCACAACUUUUAAAUAGACUGUAAGCAUGAGAGUUAUUUUGGCAGAUGAACUAGUUUAUUCAGAAAGAAAUGUCAUAGAACGACCAAGUUUUCAUAACCCUGUGGAGGGGACAGAGAGGUUAGACACAAUGAUUUCUCCUGAGAGAGACUCUUGUUGACAGCUGUGGGAUUUCUCCUGCCAUUUAGAGAUAAUGAGUUGGUGUCCUUGGUAGAGAACCUGCCAUAUCUGUGAACUGCAGGAAGCCACUCCAGCCAGUGGCAGCAAACCCCCAUGCCUUUACACAGGAUGAAUUUGCUAAUGGCUAGUGAGUCCUUCUAUGAGAGACUCUCAAUUUGAAGGUCUCUGUGUUCAGAUGGUAAUAGACUUGUUUGUUUUGAUAAAUAUGUGCUCAGGGAACACACUCUGUGACAUAAUUUCUGAGUUUGGGUCUCAAGCCUACAUUCGUGGCCCACACCAUUAAAUCCCAGCACUCAGAAGGCAGAGGCAGACUGAUUUCUGAGUUUGGGGUUGAGGCCAGCCUGGUCUACAGAGUGAGUUCUAAAACAGCCAGGACUACAUAG
ensembl:lncRNA